rnacentral:rRNA from 1 species
GGGACACGUGGUAUCCUGUCUGAAUAUGGGGGGACCAUCCUCCAAGGCUAAAUACUCCUGACUGACCGAUAGUGAACCAGUACCGUGAGGGAAAGGCGAAAAGAACCCCGGCGAGGGGAGUGAAAAAGAACCUGAAACCGUGUACGUACAAGCAGUGGGAGCACGCUUAGGCGUGUGACUGCGUACCUUUUGUAUAAUGGGUCAGCGACUUAUAUUCUGUAGCAAGGUUAACCGAAUAGGGGAGCCGAAGGGAAACCGAGUCUUAACUGGGCGUUAAGUUGCAGGGUAUAGACCCGAAACCCGGUGAUCUAGCCAUGGGCAGGUUGAAGGUUGGGUAACACUAACUGGAGGACCGAACCGACUAAUGUUGAAAAAUUAGCGGAUGACUUGUGGCUGGGGGUGAAAGGCCAAUCAAACCGGGAGAUAGCUGGUUCUCCCCGAAAGCUAUUUAGGUAGCGCCUCGUGAAUUCAUCUCCGGGGGUAGAGCACUGUUUCGGCAAGGGGGUCAUCCCGACUUACCAACCCGAUGCAAACUGCGAAUACCGGAGAAUGUUAUCACGGGAGACACACGGCGGGUGCUAACGUCCGUCGUGAAGAGGGAAACAACCCAGACCGCCAGCUAAGGUCCCAAAGUCAUGGUUAAGUGGGAAACGAUGUGGGAAGGCCCAGACAGCCAGGAUGUUGGCUUAGAAGCAGCCAUCAUUUAAAGAAAGCGUAAUAGCUCACUGGUCGAGUCGGCCUGCGCGGAAGAUGUAACGG